UGCCUUUCAACCUUUCGGGCUGAUAAAAUAAGUACCAGUCAAGUACUGGGGUCGUGUAGUCGAUUAACCCCCUCCCACCAAACUUCUGUCCUUGUGCCUAUAGUAGAAAAGAAUAUUGU